AACGCACCUUGCGCUCCCUGGUAUUCCGGGGAGCAUGCCUGUUUGAGUGUCAUGGUAUUCUCAACCUUCGUAACUUUUGUUAUCGAAGGCUUGGAUUUGGAGGUUGUGCUGGCUUCUCGUCAAGUCGGCUCCUCUUAAAAGCAUUAGCGUGAGUGUAACGGAUCGCUUCGGUGUGAUAAUUAUCUGCGCCGUGGUCGUGAAGUAACAUAAGCUUGCGCUUCUAACCGUCCUUCAGCUGGACAAAUUUACUCUGACAUCUGACCUCAAAUCAGGUAGGACUACCCGCUGAACUUAA
rnacentral:misc_RNA from 1 species